CCCGGAAAUGAGGCAAGGUCCCUCCACCCCACAGUAGGGCAGGACACACACUCUGAGCUGUUUAACCCUGUAAGCUCAGGUUCUCCUCACAAAGGAAUCUCACCGUUGCAUUCUGCACCCGCUGGAGUUUCUGGGUCAGCUUCACGGCCAGCCCCGCGUAGAGCGAGUUACAGUAAUCAAGGCUGGAGGUGACUGUUGCAUGGAUCAUUGUGGCCAGAUCAGGGCGAGAAAGGUAAGGGACCAACUGCUUGAAAUGGCAGAGAUGGGAAAAUGCCACCUUUGCUGUGGCUGAAACCUGCGCCUCCAUGGAAAGGGAGGCUUCAAAGGUUACACCCAAGCUCUUGACAGAAGGCGCUGGCACUAAUUUGAGCCCCCACAAGAGAUGUGAGUUGGCCCCCCAACCCCAUGUUGUCCCGACCCAGCCAAAGGACCUGUCUUCGAAGGAUUUAACUUCAACCGGCUCCCAUGCAGCCAUCCAGCCACAGUUUCCAAGCAUCUGGUCAGUGUGUCCAGGCCGAGUCAGGGCGGCCGUCCAUCAACAGAUAAAGCUGGGUGUCAUCAGCAUAUUGAUGACAACCCAGCCCAAACCCCCAGACAAUCUGGGCAAGAUACUGAAGAUACUGAAAAGCAUCGGGGAAAGGAUUGCGCCCAGUGGGACUCCACACACCAAGGAGUGCCGCGGCGACAACUCCCUCCCUAGCGCCACCCUCUGUCCCCGACCUGAGAUAAAGGAGUGCAGCCAUUGUUGGACUGUGCCCUGAAUCCCCACAUCAGCAAGGCAGUGGUCCAAAAGUUUGUGACCGACCAUAUCGAAGGCUGCUGACAUGUAAAUGCAUGAUCUUUAAAUCUCUAGACAAAAGGGACAAAUUGUUGCUUUAGAUAUGCUAUUAAAGUUAAAAUGGAAUGUAACCAAACCAAAGGUGAGAAAAAAAGUUUUUGGAAAGGAAGAGAUGUGUGGAAAAAUGCUAAAUGUCAUCUCAGUAUGUAAACCAAAAUAGUAGCUUUUAAAGGGGGAAAUGACUU
rnacentral:lncRNA from 1 species